rnacentral:rRNA from 1 species
GAUGAACGCUGGCGGCGUGCCUAAUACAUGCAAGUCGAGCGAACGGACGAGAAGCUUGCUUCUCUGAUGUUAGCGGCGGACGGGUGAGUAACACGUGGAUAACCUACCUAUAAGACUGGGAUAACUUCGGGAAACCGGAGCUAAUACCGGAUGAUAUUUUGAACCGCAUGGUUCAAAAGUGAAAGACGGUCUUGCUGUCACUUAUAGAUGGUUCCGCGCUGCAUUAGCUAGUUGGUAAGGUAACGGCUUACCAAGGCAACGAUGCAUAGCCGACCUGAGAGGGUGAUCGGCCACACUGGAACUGAGACACGGUCCAGACUCCUACGGGAGGCAGCAGUAGGGAAUCUUCCGCAAUGGGCGAAAGCCUGACGGAGCAACGCCGCGUGAGUGAUGAAGGUCUUCGGAUCGUAAAACUCUGUUAUUAGGGAAGAACAUAUGUGUAAGUAACUGUGCACAUCUGGACGGUACCUAAUCAGAAAGCCACGGCUAACUACGU